ACAUGCCUACAUCAUAGAAUUAAUGCAUCAGAUCCCAUUAGAACUCUAUAGUUAAGCAUGCUCAGGAUAGAGUAGUACUGGGAUGGGUGACUUCCCAAGAAGUCCUAGUGUUUUACAUUCC
rnacentral:rRNA from 1 species